rnacentral:rRNA from 1 species
UAGGGAAUCUUCCGCAAUGGACGAAAGUCUGACGGAGCAACGCCGCGUGAGUGGAGAAGGAUUUCGGUUCGUAAAACUCUGUUGUUAGGGAAGAAAAAAUGUAUAGUAACUAUAUACAAAAGAGACGGUACCUAACCAGAAAGCCACGGCUAACUACGUGCCAGCAGCCGCGGUAAUACGUAGGUGGCAAGCGUUAUCCGGAUUUACUGGGCGUAAAGGGUGCGUAGGUGGUCUUUCAAGUCGGUGGUUAAAGGCUACGGCUCAACCGUAGUUAGCCUCCGAAACUGGAAGACUUGAGUGCAGGAGAGGAAAGUGGAAUUCCCAGUGUAGCGGUGAAAUGCGUAGAUAUUGGGAGGAACACCAGUAGCGAAGGCGGCUUUCUGGACUGCAACUGACACUGAGGCACGAAAGCGUGGGUAGCAAACAGG